AGUUUGAUUCUGGCUCAGAUUGAACGCUGGCGGGAUGCUACACAUGCAAGUCGAACGGCAGCACGGACUUCCGGUCUGGUGGCGAGCCCGAACAGGUGAGUAAUGUAUCGGAACGUGCCUAGUAGCGGGGAUAACUACGCGAAAGGCAGCAGCUAAUACCGCAUACGCCCUUCGGGGAAAGCGGGGGACCUUCGGGCCUCGCACUAUUAGAGCGGCCGAUAUCGGAUUAGCUAGUUGGUAGGAGUAACGGCUCACCAAGACGACGAUCCGUAGCUGGUUUGAGAGGACGACCAGCCACACCCUGGGACUGAGACACGGCCCAGACUCCUACCGGGAGGCAGCAGUGGGAGUACGGACAAUGGAAACCCUGAUCCAGCCAUCCCGCGUGUGCGAUGAAGGCCUUCCGGGUUGUAAAGCACUUUUGGCAGGAAAGAAACGGCACGGGAUAAUACCCCGUGCAACUGACGGUACCUGCAGAAUAAGCACCGGCUAACUACGUACCAGCAGCCGCGGUAAUACGUAGGGUGCAACGAUAAUCGGAAUUACUGGGCGUAAAGCGUGCGCAGGCAGUUCAAGAAAGAAAGAUGUGAAAUCCCAGAGCUUAACUUUGAACUGCAUUUUUAACUACCGAGCUAGAGUGUGUCAGAGGGAGGUGGAAUUCCGCGUGUAGCAGUGAAAUGCGUAGAUAUGCGGAGGAACACCGAUGGUGAAAACAGCCUCCUGGGAUAACACUGACGCUCAUGCACAGCGUGGGGAGCAAACAGAGUUAGAUACCCUGGUAGUCCACGCCCUAAACGAUGUCAACUAGCUGUUGGGGCCUUCGGGCCUUGGUAGCGCAGCUAACGCGUGAAGUUGACCGCCUGGGGAGAUACGGUCGCAAGAUUAAAACUCAAAGGAAUUGACGGGGACCCGCACAAGCGGUGGAUGAUGUGGAUUAAUUCCGAUGCAACGCGAAAAACCUUACCUACCCUUGACAUGUCUGGAAUCCCGAAGAGAUUUAGGAGUGCUCGCAAGAGAACCGGAACACGGGUGCUGCAUGGCGUAUCGUCAGCUCGUGUCGUGAGAUGUUGGGUUAAGUCCGCAACGAGCGCAACCCUUGUCAUUAGUUGCUACGAAAGGGCACUCUAAUGAGACUGCCAGUGACAAACCGGAGGAAGGUGAGGAUGACGUCAAGUCCUCAUGGCCCUUAUGGGUAGGGCUUCACACGUCAUACAAUGGUCGGGACAGAGGGUCGCCAACCCGCGAGGGGAGCCAAUCCCAGAAACCCGAUCGUAGUCCGGAUCACCAGUCUGCAACUCGACUGCGUGAAGUCCGGAAUCGCUAGUAAUCGCGGCGGAUCAGCAUGUCGCGGUGAAUACGUUCCCGGGUCUUGUACACACCGCCCGUCACACCAUGGGAGUGGGUUUUGCAGAAGUAGUUAGCCUAACCGUAAGGAGGGCGAUUACCACGGUAGGAUUCAUGACUGGGGUGAAGUCGUAACAAGGUAG
rnacentral:rRNA from 1 species